rnacentral:rRNA from 1 species
UAGGGAAUCUUCGGCAAUGGGGGCAACCCUGACCGAGCAACGCCGCGUGAGUGAAGAAGGUUUUCGGAUCGUAAAGCUCUGUUGUAAGAGAAGAACGAGUGUGAGAGUGGAAAGUUCACACUGUGACGGUAACUUACCAGAAAGGGACGGCUAACUACGUGCCAGCAGCCGCGGUAAUACGUAGGUCCCGAGCGUUAUCCGGAUUUAUUGGGCGUAAAGCGAGCGCAGGCGGUUAGAUAAGUCUGAAGUUAAAGGCUGUGGCUUAACCAUAGUACGCUUUGGAAACUGUUUAACUUGAGUGCAGAAGGGGAGAGUGGAAUUCCAUGUGUAGCGGUGAAAUGCGUAGAUAUAUGGAGGAACACCGGUGGCGAAAGCGGCUCUCUGGUCUGUAACUGACGCUGAGGCUCGAAAGCGUGGGGAGCAAACAGGAUUAGAUACCCUGGUAGUCCACGCCGUAAACGAUGAGUGCUAGGUGUUGGGUCCUUUCCGGGACUCAGUGCCGCAGCUAACGCAUUAAGCACUCCGCCUGGGGAGUACGACCGCAAGGGUUG